rnacentral:rRNA from 1 species
UACGGAGGGGGCUAGCGUUGUUCGGAAUUACUGGGCGUAAAGCGCGCGUAGGCGGAUCUGCAAGUCGGGGGUGAAAGCCCGAGGCUCAACCUCGGAACUGCCUUCGAUACUGCGGGUCUCGAGUCCGGGAGAGGUGAGUGGAAUUCCUAGUGUAGAGGUGAAAUUCGUAGAUAUUAGGAAGAACACCAGUGGCGAAGGCGGCUCACUGGCCCGGUACUGACGCUGAGGCGCGAAAAGCGUGGGGAGCAAACAGG